UGGGAAUAUUGCACAAUGGGCGCAAGCCUGAUGCAGCAACGCCGCGUGAGGGAUGACGGCCUUCGGGUUGUAAACCUCUUUUAGUAGGGAAGAAGCGAAAGUGACGGUACCUGCAGAAAAAGCACCGGCUAACUACGUGCCAGCAGCCGCGGUAAUACGUAGGGUGCGAGCGUUGUCCGGAAUUAUUGGGCGUAAAGAGCUCGUAGGCGGUCUGUCGCGUCUGCUGUGAAAACCCGAGGCUCAACCUCGGGCCUGCAGUGGGUACGGGCAGACUAGAGUGCGGUAGGGGAGAAUGGAAUUCCUGGUGUAGCGGUGGAAUGCGCAGAUAUCAGGAGGAACACCGAUGGCGAAGGCAGUUCUCUGGGCCGUAACUGACGCUGAGGAGCGAAAGCGUGGGGAGCGAACAGGAUUAGAUACCCUGGUAGUCCACGCCGUAAACGUUGGGCGCUAGAUGUGGGGACCAUUCCACGGUUUCCGUGUCGCAGCUAACGCAUUAAGCGCCCGCCUGGGGAGUACGGCCGCAAGGCUAAAACUUAAAUGAAUUGACGGGGUCAUAGCUGUUUCCU
rnacentral:rRNA from 1 species